GACGAACGCUGGCGGCGUGCUUAACACAUGCAAGUCGAACGGAAAGGCCCUGCUUUUGUGGGGUGCUCGAGUGGCGAACGGGUGAGUAACACGUGAGUAACCUGCCCUUGACUUUGGGAUAACUUCAGGAAACUGGGGCUAAUACCGGAUAGGAGCUCCUGCUGCAUGGUGGGGGUUGGAAAGUUUCGGCGGUUGGGGAUGGACUCGCGGCUUAUCAGCUUGUUGGUGGGGUAGUGGCUUACCAAGGCUUUGACGGGUAGCCGGCCUGAGAGGGUGACCGGCCACAUUGGGACUGAGGUACGGCCCAGACUCCUACGGGGGGCAGCAGUGGGGAAUAUUGCACAAUGGGCCGAAGCCUGAUGCAGCAACGCCGCGUGCGGGAUGACGGCCUUCGGGUUGUAAACCGCUUUCGCCUGUGACGAAGCGUGAGUGACGGUAAUGGGUAAAGAAGCACCGGCUAACUACGUG
rnacentral:rRNA from 1 species